rnacentral:lncRNA from 1 species
CUGAAGUCACAUUUCCAAGUCACAUUUACACAGCUCAAGCUUCCAGUUAUUCUUCUUCCUAGAGUGGACUCAUUUCCAUUUGUCUCUGCAGUGAGUACUUCCAGAACUAUAUAAAAUAUAGGGGUAGAGGCAGCAGCAUCAAGAGCCCUGUGGACAUUCUUUGUUCCAGGAAUCCAUUCCUGACUUUUUCUUGCAGGGGUCCUUGGGGAGGAAACCGCGGCAGGUGGGGAGGCAUAAACCUGAAAGCCCUCCUUGCAUUGUCAGUGGGGAGGCUUAUAGCCUGAGGAAAGGUGUCAGCUCUGCUCACCAGCUGCCUGGAAACAAACUCGGUGCUGUUGAGGGGAGACAUAGUGGGAGUGAGACUGACCUUUUG